AGAAGGUGAUCUCUGCCUUCGAGACACGGAGUGUGCUGCCUCAGUCUGUGAUCCCUCGCGUUUCAAUCCAAUUCAAACCAUGCUGCAGCCAAUUCGUUCGCGCGUGCGUGUGCCAUCAUUGUGAGUGGAGGAGACUGCCCGAUAUGAUCCCAGUCAUUGCGGCGACCCCUGGAGAUCUCCAACGCCUGCGUCCCCCAACCAUACCCUGCCCCGCAUCCACAGAUAUCUUCCCUUCCUUGAUCGCCAGUACCUGGCACUGACCGUGCUUUGAAUUCAAACACCCUGGGAGGCAUAGUCCCUGUGAUUUAAACUAACAUUGAAGAAGCGACCAGACGCGGUGGUUCACGCCUGUAAUCCCAGCACUUUGGGAGACCGGGGCGGGCGGAUCACGUGAGGUCAGGAGUUCGAGACCAACCUGGCUAAAAUGGUGACACCCCGUCUCUACUAAAAAUACAAAAAAUUAGCCGGGCGUGGUGGCGGGCGCCCGCAGUCCCAGCUACUCGGGUGGCUGAGGCACGAGAAUCGCUUGGACCCAGGAGGUGGAGGUUGCAGUGAGCCGGGAUUGCACCACUGCACUCCAGCCUGGGUGGCAAAGCGAGACUCCAUCUCAAAAAAAAAAAAAAAAAAAAAAAAGGCUGGGUGCAGUGCCUCACGCCUGUUAUCCUAGCCUUUUGGGAGGCUAAGGUGGGAGGAUCACUUGCACUUAGGAGUUCGAGACCAGCCUGGGCAACAUGGUGAGACUCCCGUCUCUUUAAAAAAAAUUUUUUUCUUCUCCACAGGGCGUUAUGCUGUAUUUAUUUUCUUAAAAAGAGAGAGAGAAAGAGAGAAGGGUCUUCAAGAAUCUCAAACCCUGGAGGUGGAGGCUGCAGUGAGCCAAGAUCAUGCCACUGCACUCCAGCCUGGGUGACAGAGAAAGACUCCAUCUCAAAAAAAAAAAAAAAAUUAAAGUUCUUAUUUAAGAAAUAAGUAACUAGGUUCACAUACUUGGUAUAAUAAAAGGAAGACAAAAAUAAUUUAAAAAAAAAGAAGUAGUGCUGUGGUCAUCAUUUCUUCAGAAGCACCAACUAAGAUACAGUCAUUUUCAAAUGCAGAGCCUAAAAAGAAGGCAGAGCCUAGAGCUUAAGGAAAUGUGAUUGAGUUUAAGUGGCUUGCUUGGGUGACACUAAAUAGGAGGUUGUGGGCCAACAAAAAUUGUCCUUGUUCAUAUACUGUUAAGAACACAGACAUGACUCCUCAAGACACUAAUUUAGCAUUCAGUAUUGGAAAACUCACCUAUUGGCCCAGUCAUACAUCAUAUGUCCAGAGAAUUUUAAGCUUUUCAUAAAAUUUAUAGACCGUUAUGAGUUAAAAGGAAUGUUGGAGGCCGGGUUCAGUGGCUCACUGAACCUGUAAUCCCAGCACUUUGGGAGGCCGAGGCGGGCGGAUCACCUGAGGUCAGGAGUUCAAGACCAGCCUGGCCAAAUGGUGAAACCCCCGUCUCUACAAAAAUUAGCUGGGCAUGGUGGCGGGUGCCUGUAAUCCCAGCUUCUCGGGAGGCUGGGGUGGAAGAAUCGCUUGAACCCAGGAGGCAGACGUUGCAGUGAGCUGAGAUCGUGCCAUUGCACUCCAGCCUGGGCGACAGAGCAAGACUCCAUCUCAAAAAAAAGAAAAGGGUUGGGGGGAGGUGGGGGAUCUUGGAGAACAUGGGCUAUUUUCCUGGUUUGUAUGACUUUAAGGCCUUUAUUAAGAGGCCUUUUAGUAUACUAUUAUCCACAUUUUUCAGAUGUGGAAACAGGCUCAGAGAGAUAAAUUGACUUCAUCUAAGCUUCCUGAGCUAGGAAGCAGCAGAGCCAGAAUUCAAUACUAGGUCCAUAUGGACACAAAUCUGUGCCGUUUCGCUGUGUCACACUGGAAAGAAGAGGGCAGUGGCGGGAAAUGAGGUUGAUGAGGCAGUUGAAGGCCAGGUUAUGAAGGAACUUGUUUACUCUGCUAAAGUGUUUGAAUCACAUCUUUUCCUGGAGGCAAGCUUGGAUUGGGCUGUGCUAUGGUCUGAAUGUCCUUCAAAAUUCUUGUGUUGAAACU
rnacentral:lncRNA from 1 species